GGGGGACGCAGAAGGAGAGCGGGGAAUAGUGGGAGGGAAAUCGUCCCUCUGCUAGUGAGCAGGACUGCUUUUCUUGUCUUCUUCGUCACUAAUGUUGCAAUAUGUUGAAGUUCUUCAGUGCCCGGGACGAUGAGAAUGAAAGCCUAUUGGGUUCAUUGACAGAAGAUGAAUCGGAUGCUCCGUCUCUGAUGGAUGCUAAGCACCACUGGCUCCACAGACCCUGUCUGCUGAUGCUCAAAGAUGGGGAUGUCACAAAGCCAGGACAGCUGGGCUGUGGACACAUCGGAUCAGAUUCCCCUGCAAAACCCAAAGUCCAUUCAGAGGGGGUCCUGAGCCCAGGGGUGGCUCCUGUUUCCCAACUGGAGACCCCCGCUCAGAGACUGAUGAGACAGCUGGAGGAGGGAAACUGCACUGUGACCACUCUUUCAACAUGGGGAGAGAGGAAUUUUGGGGAGGCUUCUACCCCCCUAAUGCUCAGCCCCUCCAAAGCUGCUGGGCCAGAGGUGGAGGUGGAGGUGGAAGAGGAAGUGAAGAACAAGCCCCAGCCAGCCUCCUCCAAGGAGGACUCUGUGGUUGAGGAAAAGGAGCUGGAGGAGAGUGGACUUGAGCUGCAAGACCCCCCCAGUGGCUCAGAUGCCCUAGGCCCUUACAUUGACGACCCGUCUGGUCCCCCUGUGGAGGAGCCCUAUGGAGGCGGCCAUGAUGCCCAGAUCCAAGGGCCUAGACUGGGGCUUCAGAGCCAGACCAAAGCCAACGGACUAGCUAAUGAUGAGACCAACGCCAACAGAGUUCAAGCAGAUAGUGAAGAGGGAGCUGUGGGGGACUGCACACCUUCCCCUAUGUCUCCAUUGGUGGAUCCAGACAAUGAGCUACAGGCCGGCCCCGCGGGCAUUCUGUCCAGGGAGCGAGGCACUAUCCUCGGGGAGGUGGCCCCCGUGUGGGUCCCUGACGCCCAGGCGCUGGUCUGUAUGAUGUGUGAAGUCAGGUUCACCUUCACCAAGAGAAGGCACCACUGUCGCGCCUGUGGCAAGGUAUUCUGUUCAGUGUGCUCCGGUCUGAAGUUUCGACUAACACACCUGGAUGGGAAGGAGGGGCGUGUCUGUGUCUCCUGUCACUCAACUCUAGUGAAACGAACCCCUCCAAGGGGGAGGAGGAAGGUGUGGUUUGCUGAUGAGAUCCUAUCCAAUGAGAAAUCCGACUCUGCACCUUGUACCCCAAUCAGAGGCCCCACCUUUUCACCGCUGUUAUUGAGGAGAAGUAUAGCUGCUACAAUCAGAAGCGCCACUGGCUCACCACAGACCAGCAGGAGGGCCCCAAUAGCACAGGAGAUGCCCCUGCUCAAUCCUCUGCAGGAGGCGUGUGGGCCCUGUGGCUGGGGUACGGCAGCCUUGGUCAGCAGCCACAUCAGCAGCUCUGCCAACCUCAUCCCACUGGAGGGCCUCCCUCCCAUCCUCACCUCCACCGGAGUCAAAGGAGACUACACAGUCGAGGAGAGGCCCUCUGAGAUGGUUCUCAUCCAGGAGCUGGAGAGCGGCAGGCCCAACUCCCUGGUCUUUGUCCUCAACGCCAACCUACUGGCCAUGGUCAAGCUGGUCAACUAUGUAAACAGGAAGUGCUGGUGUGUGACGUCCAAGGGCAUGCAUGCGGUAGGCCAGGUGGAGGUGGUGGUGCUUCUGCAGUGUCUGCCUGAGGAGAAGAGCUUCCCCAAGGACAUCUUCAGCCACUUCAUACAGCUCUACAGGGACGCCCUCACAGGCAAGGUGCUAAGCCACCUGGGUCUCUCCCAGUUCUCCAGUAGUUUCCUGAGCAGUGAGGAGCAUGCAGGGUUCCUCUGGGUACGCUCCACUCUCCAGUCCCUGCAGGGCCUGCCUAUGCCCAACCAGCCCUUCCUGUUUGGCCUACUCGUCCACCGGGCUGAAGUACCCUGGGCCAAGGCCUUCCCCCUGCGCCUCAUGCUCAGACUGGGGGCUGAGUACAGAUUUUACCCCUGUCCUCUGUACAGUGUGCGCUUCAGAAAGGCUCUUUUUGGGGAAACUGGCCACACCAUCAUGAGGCUGCUAGUAGACUUCAGGAAUUACCGGUACACUCUGCCAGUGGUGCCUGGACUCACUGUAGAUCUGGAGGCUCAGAGGACCUGCAUUAAAAUCCCCACCAAUGGCUAUGAGGAGCUGAUGAGGGCUUUGAAUAAGUCCAAUGAGCAUGUGCUGGCCAUGGGGGCAUGCUUCAACGUGGCGGCAGACUCCCACCUCAUCUGUGUUCAGGGGGACGAUGGCCAGUACCAGACUCAGGCCAUCAGCAUCCACAAUCAGCCUCGCAAAGUCACCGGUUCCUGCUUUUUUGUGUUCAGUGGAGCUCUGAAAGCAGCAUCGGGAUAUCUUGCCAAAUCCAGCAUCGUGGAAGUUGUGUGUGUGGCUGUAUGUAUGUGCAUGUGAGUGUGUGUGUGUCCUUGUUGGUGUCUCUCUCUCUCUCUCUGUGUGUGUGUGUGCGUGUGCGUGUGUGUUUUUUUUUUGCUUUUGCUGUCCCCCUCUCCAGAUGGGCUGAUGGUGCAGAUCACCGUGGAGACCAUGGUGGAGCUUCGCCGGUCGCUACGGGAGAUGAAAGACUACACCAUCACCUGUGGGUCGAUUGACCAGUCAGACAGCCAGGAGCAUGUCCAGGUCCAAUGGCUGGAUAAGGAAUGCACUUUGAAUAAGGGGUGAGUGUUAGGUCAUUAAACUUCUGAUCAGUGUCCCAUGAUUUGUUUUUGUUUUUUGCCUAUCGUUAUCCUACAUUUAUUCUACAGCGUUGUUGGGUGCUUGUUUCUGAUUGGCUAGAAGGGCAUUCUAGAAUAGACAUUAGAACCAGAUGACGGGCCAGUGGGAAAAGAUAUCGGGACGUUGGAAUAGAUAUCAGAACUCUGUGCGAUCAUGACUCAAUAAGCACCUACACAUGCAGACAGUACUUGCUACAAAGUUACAGAACACUAAACCAGCCACCACACAAACUGAACAUGGAUACAUUGUAAAUGCAGGUCCAACGAGAACCCGAUGGUCACUCUGACAGAGCUCCAGAGUUCCUCUGUGGAGAUGGGAGAACCUUUCAGAAGGACAACCAUCUCUGCAGCACCAAUCAUCCCUUUAUGCUAGAGUGGCCAGACGGAAGCCACUCCUCAAUAAAAAUCACAUGACAGCCCACUUGGAGUUUGCCAAAAGGCACCUGAAGGACUCUCAGACCAUGAAAAAUAAAAUUCUCUGGUCUGAUGGAACCAAGAUUGAACUCCUUGAUGAAAACCUGCUCCAGAGCGUUCAGGACCUCAGUCUGAUGCGAAGGUUCACCUUCAAACAGGACAACGACCCUAAGCACAUAGCUAAGACCACGCAGGAGUGGCUUCGGGACAAGUCUCUGAAUGUCCUUGACUGGUCUAGCCAGAGCCCGGAAUAGAACCCGAUCGAACAUCUCUGGAGAGACCUGAAAAUAGCUGUGCAACGACACUCACCAUCCAACUUGACAGAGCUUGAGAGGAUCUGCAGAGAAGAAUGGGAGAAACUCCCCAAAUACAGGUGUGCCAAGCUUGCAGCGUCAUACCCAAGAAGACUUGACGCUGUAAUCUCUGCCAAAGGUGCUUUAACAAAGUAUUAAGUAAAGAGUCUGAAUACUUAUAUAAAUGUAAUAUUUCAGUUUUUUAUUUUUAAUACAUUUGCAAAAAUGUAGAAAAACCUGUUUCAUUAUGAGGUAUUAUGUGUAGAUUGAAAACUAUUAAAUCCAUUAUAGAAUAAGGCUGUAAUGUAACAAAAUGUGGAAAAAGUCAAGGGGUCUGAAUAUUUUCCGAAUGCACUGUAUUGGCACGGUUUUCCCGCCCUCGACGUGCCAAUAUAUCCUCCAGACACCGGCUUUCGGUGAUCACAUGAUCACUUAAGUCUCAACGAGUGUCCCCAACGCUGCGUCGUCAAUUAUUUCCAAGGUAACGUAAAGAACGUUGGCGUUUUAUAUCUUGCUUAAACCUCUCUCACUAACCCCACCCCCUUGUCGCUUCAUCCACCUUUCAAGUCUUCCCCAGACUAUCGGACCCUCUUGUCCAUCGCCGUAGAAUACCCUUUAUCGUCGCUUGCCUUCUUUGUAUGGCUGUGUGCGUGCGUGCAUGCAUGUGUAUCUUGCAGUGUUAUCAGCCCCAUUGAUGGGAAGUCCAUGGAGUCCGUCAAUAGUGUGAAGAUGUUCCAAAAGUCCGAAUACAAGUCCAAUGGAAAGGUCAUCCGCUGGACAGAGGUGUUCUUUGUACAGAGAGGGGAUCGUCCUAAGAGCCAGGGUGACCACCAUACAGAACACAGCCGGCUGACAGAGCGACUGGCCCGGGCAUUCUGCCUGGCACUGUGCCCACACCUCAAGCUGCUGAAGGAAGAUGGCAUGGCCAAGCUGGGGCUGCGUGUCACACUGGACUCCCAACAGGUGGGGUUUGUGGCAGGCAGCAAUGGCCUGCCACUCCCAGCCCCGUACCUCAGCACCCUGGACACCGUGCUGACGCCCAUCAUCCACAGCAGGGGGCGCAAGAGGAGCGAGGGACCCGUAGUCAUAGAGCUCAUCUUCUACAUCCUGGAAAACAUCUCUUAGGGGAGGGGGUCAAAGUGCACACGCUCAUCUCCACAUCGCGCCGUCCACUCACCGUCCUCUCUCCUGGCUCUCCAUUUGUGCUGCUGUGAGUUCGAACGAGCUUCAAAACAGCGUUGGUUGAAGGAGUACGCUCAUUUAAUGGACAUAAAAGCUCACCUCCAGGCUCUAUAUGUCUCAGCCAGCCUGUGGCAAGAGGUGGCUGGGUGGUAAGUGGUCUGACUCACCAAAGCUGUUCCAUAGGUCACCCUGCCUUGGCCUCUAACUCAGCAGCAGAAAGAAAUGCCACCCUCAUGUUGUUUUUCCCACUGUCAGGCUUUGUACCAGUGUCACCAGUGUUACUGUGGAAUAACACCAAAACACACACAUGAAACCCGAAAGUGGCCAUGAGAUCAGGGUAUAGUAAUCUGCUUCAUUUCGUGGCUUUAGACCAGUACGUCUGUAUAUUUUCAAUAGAAAUGCCCAUAUUUUGAGAAUGCCUUUAAACUGGGGACUGGAUUCAGCCCCUGACCUUAAAAAGCAAUGGGAAAAAGAGAAUGACUACAAAAGAAAUAUAUCAGUAGAUCUGUAGCUAGCCGUUUGAUGCAUACUGAAUGAAUGAAUGUUUAAGAAUGUUUUCAUAUUUGAAUGUAUUUGAAUUCCUCUUGAUUGCCCCUGAAAUGCAUUACUGUCAACCUAGGAUGAAUUAAACAUGAUAUUAACACAAGGAAAUCAUA